GUGCACUGUGUUCUCAGGGAGGCAGGAGGACUCGCAGCGGAUGCCAGGGACACGUGCCCAUUUCUUCCUCCCACGUCAGCCUCCCCUUUUCCGGCCACAUUUCAAACAAGUCUCAAAAGCCUGACCAUGCCAUGUAGCUUUUCCAAACUCACCUUGAGUAAACACACAGCUGCUGCCUCUCACCCACUGAGCUCAAAUCUAUCAUCAUUUUUGUAUUGUGCACUCAUGUAUGGUUUGGCUGCAUGCAACAAGGUGCCGAUCUGCCUCUUCAUGGAAGCAUCGAGGGUCUUGGACCGUGAACUGCUGUGAAUAUGAAGAACUGAAGCUUUCCUCAAGAUAACCUUUAGGAAAACUAACAGCUUCAAAGAGAAGAACCAAGAUAAGCAACCCAAGGUUGGUUCCCAGGGAAAGGAGAGACGAUUCAAGAUGUGGACGUCUCAGAGCGCCAUGUCAGCACAUUGCUUCCAAGAAACAACAGUAGGUUGACCCAGUAAAGGUGCAGAGAACAAGAGUUCUUGAAGAUUAUUGGUUAGACUGAAAAUUGAAACGUGACAUGAUUUUGAGUAUUUACUGGAGUAUAAGAAAAAAGAACCCAUGUGACUUUGAUGCUUGGAACUGAUUUAGUACCAGUGAAUUAUAUUUAUUUCUCCAAUCACACUACUUAGUUCUGCAAUGACUAAUAUUUAUAUAAUUAAAAUAAUGUAAAUAUUGUUUCUUCGGUUGCAAUUUUUAGAAUCAACUUCUGGCAGAGCACCAAAGACCUAAUUAAUUUACAAAACAGAAUGCAAACAUUAUAAUAUGGGUGCUGUGAAAGUAACAGUAGCAUUAAUAGCAGUCGGGCAAAGAUGGGGAGAAGGGUAGGGUGAGGAAGGAAUAGCAAGAUCCUCAUGUUGCCCAGGGGAGGCUCAAGAGGAACGGUCUCCUGUUAAUGGAAAAAGAAACAGCAAAGUUAUAAAGGGAAACAAACCAAUGGGAAAAACUAUUAAUAUAUGUUGAUGAAAGACAAGUCUUAGAGGGUUGCGGAGGAAAGAGUGUAAGAAAACAGCCUGUUGCAAGGCAAGAGUAAUGCCACCUGAAGUGAAAUCACCAUCAGGAUCGAUGUUUGACUCCUGAAUACCAAGGUGUUCCUGCAGUCAGGCCAAGAAACAAUUCCUGUAGCAUAGAUAACCCCUUAUAAAGAUGCUUAUCUAACUUUCCCAGUGGUCACACACUUUGUGGGAGGGUCUGAGACGUGACCAACUGUACAUGUUUUACCAAAAGCAGCUUGCUAUAUAAAGACUACUUUCUGGAGGGCAAGUAUAGGAAUCAACCGUCUCUUGGCCACCAG
rnacentral:lncRNA from 1 species